rnacentral:rRNA from 1 species
AACGAACGCUGGCGGCGCGCCUAAUACAUGCAAGUCGAACGAGAAGCUGUAGCAAUACAGUUGUACAGUGGCGAACGGGUGAGGAAUACAUGGGUGACCUACCCUCGAGUGGGGAAUAACCAGCCGAAAGGUUGGCUAAUACCGCGUACGCUUCCCAGUCUACGGGUUGGGAAGGAAAGCGAUGCCGUGGGUAUCGCGCUCAAGGUUGGGCUCAUGUCCUAUCAGCUUGNGGUGGGGUAACGGCUCACCAAGGCAACGACGGGUAGCUGGUCUGAGAGGACGAUCAGCCACACUGGCACUGCGACACGGGCCAGACUCCUACGGGAGGCAGCAGUAAGGAAUAUUGCGCAAUGGGCGAAAGCCUGACGCAGCGACGCCGCGUGGGGGAUGAAGGUCUUCGGAUUGUAAACCCCUUUCGGGAGGGAAGAUGGAACGAGCAAUCGUUCGGACGGUACCUCCAGAAGCAGCCACGGCUAACUUCGUGCCAGCCGCCG